GCAAUGGUGGUUCAAUGGUAAAAUUCUCACCUUCCACGUGGGAGACCUGGGUUCGAUUCCCAGCCAAUGCA